CAGGCACGAAGGCGGCGUGGCUGGCCUACAGGAGACGCGUCGAGGCCUCCGGCGAUCAGCUUCGCCUCCCAGGGCUCGAGGGAUACACGCAGGAUCAGCUGUUCUUCAUAUCCUUCGGCCAGCUCUGGUGCAGCCAAUUCACCCCCUGGUCCCUGAAGUUCCUCCUGUCGACGGACGUCCACAUCCCCGGCGCCUUCAGGAUCAAGGGCGUGCUUCAGAACCUACAGGAGUUUUCCCACGCCUUCGGAUGCACUGCUAAUACCACUUUUAACCCUGAGAGAAAGUGUGUCUUGUGGUGAUAUUUUUUGGUGAGGUUGGCGUCUUGCGAGGUUAUUGUUUAGUUAGAAAAAAAAAGAUGAAAAAGAGUUUUGUGUUAUGUGUUGUGAGUUUUUUGUUUAUCUCUUUUUGUUAUAAAGAUUUUGUUUAUAUAUUUAUAAAGAGUUUGUAUUUUUUUCUGUACGUUUUUAUAUAAGGAGUUUCUAUGUUUUUUUCUUUAUUCCUUAUUUAUCAUUAUAGUUUUAUGUAUUUUUGCUUAUUUUAGAGAUUCUAUCUGCAUGUAGGUUAUCUUUCAUUCCUACUUAUUUCUGUUUAUACAGCAAUUCACUCGUUUAUUCAUCUAUACAAUUACCUAUUCUUUUAUUCGUUUAUUUAUGAUAGUGUAGAAGUUAUUUUUUUCCAGAUAUAUAUAUGUAUUCUUUUAUUUUUUGUCUUCUUUUCUCCCUUCUUUCGUAAAUGAAGGAAGAAUGAUAUUCAGUACAUGUAAUUUGAAUUUAAUAAUGAUUUCGAGGCCAAAGUAGAAGCUAAAUUAUAGUGUCUUAAGCAUUUUUAUGAUAAUUUAAAUUUCUGUUUUGACUAUUUCGGUUUGAGCUUAAUGGGACAUUUUAUUCAUAUAUUCCAAAUAUUUUUUUGUUUGUUUUUUGUCCUGAUGGAUUUGUAGAUAAAACAUGUAUUUCACUAAAACCAUGUUACAAAAAAUGGGGAAAAUUUUCAUUGGGGAAAAAUGUCAUUUUAUAUUUCAUAUUUUUUUAAGUUUGUGUCACUUUAUGCAAUUCGAUUUGAUUCAGUAGAAGUGAGUGUUUUUUUUCAUGUCAAACGAGAUCUCACUGUAUUUGUCUUCUUUUUUUUUGUCUGUGUGUCUGGGUUUUUAAAAAUAUCCAAAAUAUGAUAAAUAUACUGAAGAUACA